CCUACGGGCGGCAGCAGUGGGGAAUAUUGGACAAUGGGGGGAACCCUGAUCCAGCCAUGCCGCGUGUGUGAAGAAGGCCCUCGGGUUGUAAAGCACUUUCAGUGAGGAAGAACGCCUGGUGGUGAAUACCCAUCAGGAAAGACAUCACUCACAGAAGAAGCACCGGCUAACUCCGUGCCAGCAGCCGCGGUAAUACGGAGGGUGCGAGCGUUAAUCGGAAUUACUGGGCGUAAAGCGCGCGUAGGUGGCUUGAUAAGCCGGUUGUGAAAGCCCCGGGCUCAACCUGGGAACGGCAUCCGGAACUGUCAAGCUAGAGUGCAGGAGAGGAAGGUAGAAUUCCCGGUGUAGCGGUGAAAUGCGUAGAGAUCGGGAGGAAUACCAGUGGCGAAGGCGGCCUUCUGGACUGACACUGACACUGAGGUGCGAAAGCGUGGGUAGCAAACAGGAUUAGAUACCCUGGUAGUA
rnacentral:rRNA from 1 species